UACGUAGGGCGCGAGCGUUGUCCGGAAUUAUUGGGCGUAAAGAGCUCGUAGGCGGCUUGUCGCGUCGGUUGUGAAAGCCCGGGGCUUAACUCCGGGUCUGCAGUCGAUACGGGCAGGCUAGAGUUCGGUAGGGGAGAUCGGAAUUCCUGGUGUAGCGGUGAAAUGCGCAGAUAUCAGGAGGAACACCGAUGGCGAAGGCAGGUCUCUGGGCCACUACUGACGCUGAGAAGCGAAAGCAUGGGGAGCGAACAGG
rnacentral:rRNA from 1 species